GACGAACCGAGCGAACGUUUAUUCGGAAUCACUGGGUUUAAAGGGUGCGUAGGCGGGCAGGUAAGUCCGUGGUGAAAAUCUCUGAGCUUAACUCAGAAACUGCCAUGGAUACUAUUUGUCUUGAAUAUUGUGGAGGUAAGCGGAAUAUGUCAUGUAGCGGUGAAAUGCUUAGAUAUGACAUAGAACACCAAUUGCGAAGGCAGCUUACUACACAGUUAUUGACGCUGAGGCAACGAAAGCCGUGGGGAUCAAACAGG
rnacentral:rRNA from 1 species